rnacentral:snRNA from 1 species
GGAUGCGAGGGCGAUCUGGCUGCGACCUCUGUCACCCCACUGAGCGCCAGGGUUGAUCCUGCUGACCUGGCUGGCCGGACGGGUGUCGCCUUCCUCCCUCAGCACUCCGUGUGCGGCCCUCCUGAAGCCGAAGCCGCGCGCUCAGUGGAGGAGGACAACCACUCCCGAUAGAGGAGGACUGUUUCCUCGCUCAAGGGUACAGGAGGAGCUGCGCUCCCCUGCUAGAAGCUCCAGACAAGCUGUCAAAAUGUUUGGGGCCAAGACUAGAGAGGAAUUCAUUUAUGUUUCAUAUACAUGCUUUACAUUGCCUGAAGGUACAU